rnacentral:rRNA from 1 species
GUGGGGGAUAUUGCACAAUGGGGGAAACCCUGAUGCAGCGACGCCGCGUGAAGGAAGACGUACUUCGGUAUGUAAACUUCUAUCAGCAGGGAAGAAGAUGACGGUACCUGACUAAGAAGCCCCGGCUAACUACGUGCCAGCAGCCGCGGUAAUACGUAGGGGGCAAGCGUUAUCCGGAUUUACUGGGUGUAAAGGGAGCGUAGACGGUGAAGCAAGUCUGAUGUGAAAACCCGGGGCUCAACUCCGGGAUUGCAUUGGAAACUGUUUUACUUGAGUGCUGGAGGGGCAAGCGGAAUUCCUGGUGUAGCGGUGAAAUGCGUAGAUAUCAGGAAGAACACCGGUGGCGAAGGCGGCUUGCUGGACAGUAACUGACGUUGAGGCUCGAAAGCGUGGGGAGCAAACAGGAUCAGAAACCCGUGUAGUCC